GGGGUUGACAUGGAUUUGACAGCAAGCCGAGGUGGUAGGUAAGCAUGCAGAGCGUUGUUGGGUGGCUCUUUAAUCCCAUCUUUCGUAAAUUUUAUCUGGCAACUAUUCUUAUGCUCUCGCAGCUUGAUCGAAGUAUAGUAGAUCGCUUUAUUCCUUAGUUAGACUAGGGAACGAGACAUCGCCCUGAAAGCCCCCUUCCUGAGGCGUUUAGACAAGCGGUGCGGUAAAUUCGGGAAUAGUUUGAGGUGGCCUCGCACCUCUUACGAAACUUUAGAGGAUAAGGGUGUGAUUGGAUGGUUCAGGUCAGGUCACAUCACGAAAAACAAAACUGAACUAAGCAUGUAGAAAGCUUAUGGUCUCCUUGUUUGGACGAGGGUUCGAUUCCCUCCAGCUCCACAA
rnacentral:tmRNA from 1 species